CUGAGGAAUAAUAUGGGUUUAUGUGGUUGUGAAUUGACUUUGGGUUUACACUCGAUGUGGCUACAAAACAAUGUGACAGUGCGCGUGCUCGUUUGUGAAGCUGGGACCCCACUUGACAAAGCUGUCCUAACCUGCCCAGACAUGCCAUGAUGACGUCACAGCUGACGUCACAGGAUGUCCAGAACUUGUGGUCACAGCUGAAGAUGCUUUGCAACCUGCCUCUGUGCUCCGUCGCCCAGCGAUGAUUAGCGGCCGUUCCGGACCGCUUUCUUCAAGAUGGCGUCGUUGAUCUUCAACUAAACGCCUUCUCUCCACUCUAUCUCUAUCUAUUUUUUUUUCUUUUUUAUGAACACAGGUUGCCCCCAACUCACAGCUGGCCUGAACAUGAGUUAGACGCUCCCCAAUUAGUGUGAUGACUCACUGGAUGAUGCUGAUUACUGUGGGGGGUCCUAAUUAACUCUAAUUGCUAAUUAAAUCGUGUUUAAGGCUAGUUGCGAGUUGGCAGUAGUCUGUGUUCAGUUAUUACUACUGUCCUGACACAGAUGUUUCAGGCAUGCCUGCAAGUGGGCGACCUCUAGCCUCACCCUCUUCGCUGGUGGAUUUCAUAGAUCCAUUGGAAGCAACCUUAGAAAGCUAAAGAAGAAGUUCAGGUAGAAAGGAGACUGGCUGACCGCGAUGAUAGAAAAAUGGGGAACUUACGAUUAUAUGACGCAGAAUACAGCAGCGUAGCUUUUGGUGAGAAGCCAAGAGGUCGUUUUUCAAGCUUUGCUUCCACCUCUUCUGAGCUCCGCGAUCCACACGCUGUUUUCCAUAAUGAACAAGCCUGAGCGUGGGCGACAACGAAACCAGAUGACACACGAUAAGUGCGACGACGGACUUCAACCAUCAGCUUGCCUAAAUUGACUCAUUUUUUUAAUAGUUAUACUUGGUCUUUAUAAUUUUCUUCCGCCGGUUCACGCCGCUUGGACAUGCUGCGACGGUGGUGGCAUUGAUUUGUUCGGCGCGCCUAUUAAAGGUGAUGUGAUGUGGCUCGGGA